rfam:Echinostoma caproni strain Egypt genome assembly, scaffold: ECPE_scaffold0006441
GGCCUCGUAGCUUAGCUGGUAGAGCAUGCUCCUACAAAGCGUAGGCGGCAUCCAUGCGUGGAUUCGAAUCUCACCGAGGCUA